rnacentral:rRNA from 1 species
AUGAGUAGCCGCCGCCGCCGCCCACGCUCGCCGGCGGCGGCGCCACCGCUGGAGGACGACAACCUGCUCUCUGAGAUCCUCCUCCGUCUCCCCCCAGAUCCGUCAUCCCUCCCUCGCGCCUCCCUUGUCUCCAAGCGCUGGCUCGGCCUCGUCUCCGACCCCGGCUUCUCCCGCCGCUUCCGCCUCCACCACCGCCGCAACCCUCCUCUCCUCGGUUUCUUCGAGAGCUCGUACUUCGAACCUAUGGAUCCCCCCAAUCGUGUCCCAAAAGUUCGCUUCUCCUACGAGCACACUGACGAUGACGGCUAUGGCUGCUUCAUACCCUUCGGAUGCCGCCAUGGCCUCGUACUCAUCUUCCACGAAUCGGAGACUUCGGAGAAGCAGAUCCAUGUGCGGGACCCCUUCAACGGCGACAAACACUGCCUACCCGUUCCCCCGGAGUUCGAUGUGGAGGAGACCCUGAUCAGUGGGGCAGUGUUUCGCGCUGCUGGAGACAUCCAACACUUCCAGGUGGUAUUGGUAGGCACAGAGACAAACAACCAGCAGCAUACACGGGCAAUUGCCCGCGUCUACUCAUCUGACAUCGGCAUAUGGGGCAAUCUCAUGUCGACACCGCUUCCACCCAUGUCUUCGAGUUCUAUGGACGAAUUUUCCACCACUUUUGGAAUGUGGUAUACUAUUAGUGUGCUGGUUGGGCAUUCGCUUUACUGGUUGCUCACUGAUACAUCAGCAGAAACUUACACAUUGGAUGUCAUCCUUCAGUUUGAUUUGGAGAGGCAGAUUCUAGCUGUGAUACCGGUGCCCAUGGAUAUUGCCAAUAAUUGUAUUAGCCGAUUCCAAGUUAUGCGGGCAGAGGGUGGUGGCCUUGGCAUUCUCUUUCUGUCAAAUUUUAGUGCCCAGUUAUGGAAGACGGAGACUGAUUCUGAUGGCGUUGCUUCGUGGGUGCUGGGAAGAACUAUUGAACUAGAUAAGCUACUUCCCAUGAAUCCAAAGAAGAAGACGAGAGGGCCACCCCUAAUGAUUCGAGGGUUUGCCGAGUACAAUAAUGUGUUGUUCAUACGGACACCUGCUGGCUUCUUCAUGCUUCAGCUUGAGUCACUGCAGUUCAAGGAAGUUGUAAAAUCCCAUAUCUAUUAUCCAUUUGAGAGUGUCUAUGUUGCAGGUAACAGCAUAUGCAUAUACAUUGUGUGUGUGAAAAACCAGGAUAUUACUUAUAAUUGGUUGAUUGAAUGGCGCUCACAUCCUUUUGUGUUAAGCUAA